rnacentral:lncRNA from 1 species
GGAGACUGCAUUUUUUUAAGACCAUAAAGGUCAUGGAACUAUACAAGUUCUCAUUUGGGGCAAGGGAAGAAUUUUCCCUAAUUAAAAACUUUUAGAGAAACCACGAGAGACAGAAGAUUUAUGCUGGUUUUGCCCGACCCCUAUCCCGACUCUGGUUUCCAGGGACCUAACAGCGCUUCAGAAGAGCCAACUGGUGAGGAGGUGACACAUAGCUGUGACAGUGCUGAAGUGCAGGAGCCCUAAGAUCACCAGAUCAGUUCACCACCAAUGCACUGGGGGCUGAGCCAGAAUGUAUGGAACCUGUUACAAUGUUCUUGAAGGGAAUCAGAGCAGACCUUGUCUCCAUGUGUCCUGGAACUUUCAAAGCAGUCGGACCAGAGGCAAUAAAAACCCUAACUGAGACAAGAAACUAUGAUGGAUGUCCAGACUUUUUCACUGAAGAGACUAAACCAUUCUCAACAUUCAAAGGAAGUGAAGCAUACAAUGCUAUUUGCUCCUGUCUCCUGCAGAGCUGCCACUAGCAAGGUCAUUAAUCCCCAGAGUAACUCCAAGGGUAACCACGAUGCAAAACUGUUAUGACAUCUGAAGGUGGCAAAUAAGACUCUACUGCUGAAGACACCACAUACUUCAGACACAGGACUUGGGGAGAGAAAGCUGCCAAUGACCUAGAAGCCUCUUCCUUGAGACUAUCUUUCGCAGUCUCUGAAAGGCACCGUGUCAGCUGCAAAAGCAGAAAUCAAUAGUCCUACACAGAUGUGAACCCUAUAAAUGACAGUAAUAAACAGUAUGUCAAGAUAUCCCAUGGGUACAAAUAUGACACAGACCUUGAUUGUUACAAACAGCCCAUUAGAUAGGAAGGAA